rnacentral:rRNA from 1 species
UACGGGGGGGGCAAGCGUUGUUCGGAAUUACUGGGCGUAAAGGGCUCGUAGGCGGCCAACUAAGUCAGACGUGAAAUCCCCAGGCUCAACCUGGUAACUGCGUCUGAUACUGGAUGGCUUGAAUCCGGGAGAGGGAUGCAGAAUUCCAGGUGUAGCGGUGAAAUGCGUAGAUAUCUGGAGGAAUACCGGUGGCGAAGGCGGCAUCCUGGACCGGCAUUGACGCUGAGGAGCGAAAGCCAGGGGAGCAAACGGG